rnacentral:rRNA from 1 species
GACGAACGCUGGCGGCGUGCUUAACACAUGCAAGUCGAACGGAAAGGCCCUGCUUUUGUGAGGUGCUCGUGUGGCGAACGGGUGAGUAACACGUGAGUAACCCGCCCCUGACUUUGGUAUAACUUCAGGAAACUGGGGCUAAUACCGGAUAGGAGCUCCUGCUGCACGGUGGGGGUUGGAAAGUUUCGGCGGUUGGGGAUGGACUCGCGGCUUAUCAGCUUGUUGGUGGGGUAGUGGCUUACCAAGGCUUUGACGGGUAGCCGGCCUGAGAGGGGGACCGGGCACAUUGGGACUGAGAUACGGCCCAGACGCCUACGGGAGGCAGCGGUGGGAAAUAUUGCGCAAUGGGCGGGAGCCUGAUGCAGCAACGCCGCGUGCGGAAUGACGGCUUUCGGGUUGUAAACCGCUUUCGCCUGUGACGAAGCGUGAGUGACGGUAAUGGGUAAGGAAGCACCGGCUAACUACGUG